UAUAUUCCCCAUUAGGGGGGAUGAGAAUCCCCGACCGGGGUUCGACAAUGGGCGCAGCCCGUUGGACGGACCGCGAACGCAGUGAACGGGCUGCCCGCAGGGCGAGCGAAGCGAGUCAAUCCCCCCCUCACCGCCA
rnacentral:sRNA from 1 species